CGCGGCCUAUCAGCUUGUUGGUGAGGUAACGGCUCACCAAGGCGACGACGGGUAGCCGGCCUGAGAGGGCGACCGGCCACACUGGGACUGAGACACGGCCCAGACUCCUACGGGAGGCAGCAGUGGGGAAUAUUGCACAAUGGGCGAAAGCCUGAUGCAGCGACGCCGCGUGAGGGAUGACGGCCUUCGGGUUGUAAACCUCUUUCAGCAGGGAAGAAGCGAAAGUAGCGGUACCUGCAGAAGAAGCGCCGGCUAACUACGUGCCAGCAGCCGCGGUAAUACGUAGGGCGCAAGCGUUGUCCGGAAUUAUUGGGCGUAAAGAGCUCGUAGGCGGCUUGUCACGUCGGAUGUGAAAGCCCGAGGCUUAACCUCGGGUCUGCAUUCGAUACGGGCUAGCUAGAGUGUGGUAGGGGAGAUCGGAAUUCCUGGUGUAGCGGUGAAAUGCGCAGAUAUCAGGAGGAACACCGGUGGCGAAGGCGGAUCUCUGGGCCAUUACUGACGCUGAGGAGCGAAAGCGUGGGGAGCGAACAGGAUUAGAUACCCUGGUAGUCCACGCCGUAAACGUUGGGAACUAGGUGUUGGCGACAUUCCACGUCGUCGGUGCCGCAGCUAACGCAUUAAGUUCCCCGCCUGGGGAGUACGG
rnacentral:rRNA from 1 species